rnacentral:rRNA from 1 species
UACAGAGACUGCAAGCGUUAUUCGGAUUCACUGGGCGUAAAGGGUGCGCAGGCGGACAAGUGUGUGAGGCGUGAAAGCCCGGGGCUUAACCCCGGAAUUGCACCUCAAACUACAUGGCUAGAGCAUUGGAGAGGGUAGCGGAAUUCACGGUGUAGCAGUGAAAUGCGUAGAUAUCGUGAGGAACACCAGAGGCGAAGGCGGCUACCUGGACAAUUGCUGACGCUCAGGCACGAAAGCGUGGGGAGCAAAAGGG